GAUGAAGAACGUAGCGAAAUGCGAUAAGUAAUGUGAAUUGCAGAAUUCAGUGAAUCAUCGAAUCUUUGAACGCACAUUGCGCCCCGUGGUAUUCCGCGGGGCAUGCCUGUUCGAGCAUCAUUACACCACUCAAGCCUCGCUUGGUAUUGGGCGACGCGGUCAGCCGCGCGCCUCAAAUCUUCCGGCUGGGUCUGGAUCGUCCCUCAGCGUUGUGGAAACUAUUCGCUAAAGGUGCGCGUUCCGGUCACGCCGUUAAACAAGCCCAUUUCAUUAAAGGUUGACCUCGGAUCAGGUAGGGAUACCCGCUGAACUUAAGCAUAUCAAUAAGCGGAGGA
rnacentral:misc_RNA from 1 species